rnacentral:rRNA from 1 species
UACGUAGGGUGCGAGCGUUAAUCGGAAUUACUGGGCGUAAAGCGUGCGCAGGCGGUCUGUUAAGACAGAUGUGAAAUCCCCGGGCUUAACCUGGGAACUGCAUUUGUGACUGGCAGGCUAGAGUAUGGCAGAGGGGGGUAGAAUUCCACGUGUAGCAGUGAAAUGCGUAGAGAUGUGGAGGAACACCGAUGGCGAAGGCAGCCCCCUGGGCCAAUACUGACGCUCAUGCACGAAAGCGUGGGGAGCAAACAGG